rnacentral:rRNA from 1 species
GACGAACGCUGGCGGCGUGCCUAAUACAUGCAAGUCGUGCGGACCUUUUAAAAGCUUGCUUUUAAAAGGUUAGCGGCGGACGGGUGAGUAACACGUGGGCAACCUGCCUGUAAGACUGGGAUAACGCCGGGAAACCGGGGCUAAUACCAGAUCGUUUUUUCCUCCGCAUGGAGGAAAAAGGAAAGGCGGCUUCGGCUGCCACUUACAGAUGGGCCCGCGGCGCAUUAGCUAGUUGGCGGGGUAACGGCCCACCAAGGCAACGAUGCGUAGCCGACCUGAGAGGGUGAUCGGCCACAUUGGGACUGAGACACGGCCCAAACUCCUACGGGAGGAAGCAGUAGGGAAUCUUCCGCAAUGGACGAAAGUCUGACGGAGCAACGCCGCGUGAGGGAAGAAGGCCUUCGGGUCGUAAAACUCUGUUGCCGUGGAAGAACAAGUGCCGUUCGAACAGGGCGGCGCCUUGACGGUACCCGGCCAGAAAGCCACGGCUAACUACGUG